UCAGCCCAUUGAAGGGCUCGUUGACGUCACCAGGAGUAUAUAAGGGAGGCGGCGAGAUCAACUGCAGCAGUCCAGCUCCAUCAUCCACAGGGAGAAGAGGCCUCCUUAGCUCCUCUUACAGUGACACACCUCCCCCAAGUCCGCAAUGGUGGCCUACAGAAUGACCUCGACGGUGGCGCUGGUGGUGGUGGUAGCUCUUGGCGCCUCGAUCCUCAUCCUCCCCCACGCACACGCCCGCUCAGCAGAAGGGUUCGGGCGCAUGGAGAGGCUGUUGGGUCAACUGAGAGGCGGUGCGGACUCCUCAGCAGCGUUGGGAGAGCUGAGGGUAGCCGUGGAGGGACCAGCCGGCCACCCUCUGGAUAAACGCCAGGCCUACGACCGUUCCUGCAAGGGCAUCUACGACAGGUCCCUCUUCAGCAAGCUUGAACACGUGUGCGACGACUGCUUCAACCUCUACCGCUCGUCCCAUGUCGCUAGUGGCUGCAGGGAAAACUGCUACAGCAACCUCGUCUUCCGCCAGUGCAUGGACGAUCUUCUCUUGAUGGACAUGUUCGACGAAUAUGCCAAGGCCAUCCGGGUGGUUGGCAGGAAGAAGUAAACACACAGACAUAAUUAUAUUGAUUGUUUAACCCUCUCAGAGCCAUGGCGUCCUCCUAACGAGCGAAGGAAAAUAUGGAAAAUACGCGUGGAUGUUUUUUUUUUUCUUGUCGAUGUUUUGAAGGCGUAAGCAAACAGUAAGUACUUUGGCCAUAUUUUAGCCAUCUACGUCACAUCGUCCUCGAAAUAGUGGAAGUUAGCACGGAAAAUAGAAGCAAAAAAGGAAGAGUAUCAGUUAGCAUGUCAACGGUUGGAAGGAGUAAACAAACAUAUGUUAUUGUUUUCCUUGUCGACGUUUUGAAGAUGUAAACAGUAAUAUUAUCCUUGGGUCACAUUUUAAGUAAGCCUCACAGAAAGCCACAUCGUCUUCGAAACAUGGAAAGAUAACAACGAAGUGAGAGAAAAAAAUGAGAACAGGUAUUUUUCUUUCAUAUCCAUUUUCAACGAUCCCAGAACAACAAACCAAGCACUGUUUGAUAUGACGUAAUUAACCCUCUCAUUCAUUCCCCCACGCAGUCGUCCGUCCUUUUGGAAUUAUUAUAUACGUUUUGAGUGAUAUUUCAAACAUUCCAAAUCUCUGGAUUCCUAAUUCUGGUGUUUUAGGAUUUUUUCUUGAUCACAUGCCUUCCUUUAAAUAUUCCUGCCCUCCACCCCCUUAAGUUGAUUCCUUUAUUCUAGUCAUUUGUAUAAUUAAGGAAAGGAAUUAUUUUCAUACGCGCGCGAGCCUGAGAGACGUACGUGACCGUGUUUUAUUUAUUGACCGAACGUGAACGUGUGUGAAUGGCGCUUUGUAACUUAUAGGUCUUCAUGAUAUUCAGUUUACGUGGCUUUUGAAACUGGAGAACAUCUAUGGCUUAGCAAACUUGGAAGGAGCUUAUUGAUAUCUCUAAAGAGUUUAUAUAUUUUCUUAGAAUCCAUAUAUAUUUUUGGAUUGUAAACGUAUAUAUUUCUAUUAGUAUAUUUUUCUAGGAGUCUGUACUUCUGAGGAAUUUAUAUAUAUCUAAGAAUCUACAUAUUUCUAAAGAUUCAUAUAGUUCAGAGGAAUUUAUGUAUUUUUAAUAAUUGAUAUAUUUCCACGACUUUCAUAUGUUUCUAAGAAUUUGUAUAUUUCUAAGGAAUCUUUAUAUUUCUAACGGAAUUUAUAUACUUCUAAGAAUUCAUAUAUUUCCAAAAAAUAUAUAGUUUUAAGGAAUUUAUAUGUUUCUAAGAACUUAUAUAUUUCUAAAGAUUCAUAGAGUUCUAAGGUAGCUAUAUUUCAGAGGACUUUAUAUAUUUCUAAAGAUUUAUAUAUUCUAAGGAAUUUAUAUAUUUCUAGAGAAUCCAUCAAACUUUAAACAAACCGACACUGAUGAAGUCUGGUAUCUAUAAAGCUCUUCAAAUGGAAAACGUCAAUAGCUUCGCCAGUCCCGAACGGGCACAUAUAGUUUUUCUAAGUUCCCAAGACUUUAGAACAUCCAAGAGACCACAAAUAUUGCCUUGCAGACUUAGAAUUACCUAAUAUAUAUGAUUAGAAGAGUUAAUUAGCCUUAGAACCUCCAGAACCUCACUGUUAUAGCCUAGCAUAUUUAUAACUAAUUUAUCAAUACUUUUAAGAGUUUAAUUUAUGAACCUCCCUAGAAUCUCUUUAGCAUAGCUAAAGCUAUGUAUUUUGAUGAAUCGGUAGUGUGUACAAACCCUCAAUACCUCAUCAGUAUACCCUGAAACACUAAAACCAGUUAGUGUAAAUUUUGAAAUCCCCUCCUAGAGCCUCUUUAUCCUAGCCUAGCAUUUUAGGGUUAUCUAUAUGGUGUUUAUUUUUAAAGUUUGUUGGCUGUUAAAACCUUCAGAACCCCUCUAAUGUACCCUGACAAAUUAGAACUCGUAUUUUGAAAAACUCUGAUGUGCUUCUUAAAAUCCAUGAUCUCACUAACCAUUGACUUGCGGAGAUAAAAUUAUUACUUAUUUUAUAAAAGUGAUUAGGCUAUUCUGACCCUCCUGGACCCACUGUGCAAGCCUAGAAUAUUGUAUUGAUCUAUUGUGCAUUUUCAGAAGACCUUAGUAUGCCUUAGACCCGCUAGACUAUUGCCUGAGGAGUAGUUUGUUAGGAGUAAUGUACUUUUAGGAGAGUUAGACAGACUUCGAGUCCUCCAAUAUCUCACUAAUUAUCCUUACAGAGUUGUAAAACUAUUUAUUAUAUAUUUUAAGGAGUCUGUAUUAGGCUAUAGACCAUCCCCAACCUUACCAGAUGAAUAUUUAUUAGUAAUUUAUAUUUUAGAAGAAUUAGAUAACUUUAGAAUCUUCCACAACCUUACCAGAGGAAUAUUUUAUCAAUAAUGUAUAUUUUUAGACGAGAGUAAUAGACUAUAAUAUAGACCAGAGUUGUAAUUUGCUAGUAAUUUAUAUUCUUUAGAAGAGUUUAACAGACUAUAGCCAUCCACAUCCCUACCAGAGGAGUAUUUUAUCAGUAUUGUCUAUUUCAAGAAGAGUUUGCUAGUUUUUAGAAACUCGAGACUCUCAGUGAAUAGGCGUUGUGUCCCUCGUGUAUCGCCAGACACGGGGGGCGGAGGUGUACGUAGGAUUUUGUGAUGACGCUGUGCCAAAGACUUGUACCGUGACUGUGAAGGAGGAGGAGCCGGAGGAGCUGAGGGGAGAGGAUGCAAAUAUAUACAGACUUUAAGAAUCAAA